GUUAUUUACACGUGGCCGGGCCAUGCGGUUAUUAAUGGAGGCGAAAAAGCGGCGAGGAGAGUCCGGUCUCGGCAGGAUCGACGCGAACGUCGCGAGUUAAGGGAAAACCGCGGUUCUAUUUUAGCCGUGAACGCGCACGCCGGGUUUCGGAGGACCCGCGACCGCUCUCCUCCGGUUAGUCCGGCCAGUCUCUUCGUUAAGCGCAGACGAUCCCGGAAUAGUCGCGGACAGAGAACCCGAGGUUUCAGUCAACGAGUCCGGGGACCGAGGCGCACGCGGUCCCGUCGGAGGAAGAGGAGAUACGGUGCCCUGCGAGUUGCGUAACGUGUCCUGCGAGUCCUGGUGGCAAGAAGGAGCGAGGUGGUGUCCGCGAGUGCCGCAAGAUUCCGAGGCCCUGGGAGGAAGACCGAUCCCUUGAGGAUGGAGGUGAUGGAUACCGUCAGUCCGGUCGCGUCGCCGACCGAGGCCGACGACGCCCCGACCGUCGAGGAGACCUACGAGAUGACCACCACCAGGCGCAAGACCAUCCGCACCAGCUACAAGAUCCAGGAAACUUCGGCAUCUACAAAAACCACUACCAUGACCACGGCAGCAAAGCUAUAUGGCAAAGAUUUAAGUGAAUAUGACGAUGUCGAUGUAGAUGAAUUAUUAUCCCAGCUGUCUCCAGAGGAGAUCAAUAUAUUAGCCAAAGAAGUAGAUCCUGAUGACAGUUUUAUGCCACCGUCGCAACGUUGCAGUUACGAGUGUGACAAGGAUCCCACGGGUCCGCUCAACCGCAAAAAACUCAUUGAACACAUCAACAAACAGGCUCUGGAGACACCUGAUAUUCCAGAGCUGAAACCAUAUGUACCAGGUGUCAUCCGAGGCAAGAAAUGGAUUCCACCACCACAAGAGAAUGCAAAAGAAAAAGAAGCAGACGAACAAAUUGCUAUCGAUUUAGGAGAAGAGUAUGAACAAGCUUUAUCAGCUGCCACUCAAGAAGAGAUCAUUGACCUUGCUGCUAUCCUGGGUUUCCACUCAAUGAUGAAUCAAGAUCAGUAUCACGCUUCCCUUUUGAAUUCUGGACAACCCGUUGGCCUUGGUUGGGAUGGUAUCACAAAAGCCAGUCAACCAAAGGUGUAUCCAAUGGAACCUCCAAAUGACACAGAUGUUGACGCAACUAUUAAACAAGUUCGGGACGAUGACAGUUUGUUGGUAGACUUAAAUUGGAACAAUAUAAAAAACAUUUCGGACGAGAAAUUCAUUCAGCUGUUCGAAGCGUUAGAAGUUAACACACACCUUGAGUCCUUGAGUUUGACAAAUGUAGGACUCACCGACAAGACUGCUCUCCGACUGGCGGAUGCCAUUGAAAAGAAUUCCACCCUCAGAGUACUGAACGUGGAAACAAAUUUUAUUAGCCCAUCUGUGAUAGUAAGGCUUAUUAAGGCUCUUCUCAAAACAAAAUCCAUCGAAGAAUUCAGAUGCUCGAAUCAGAGAUCGCAAGUCCUGGGUAACAAAAUUGAAAUGGAAAUCACGCAGUUGGUGGAACAAAACCCAACGUUGCUACGGUUGGGUCUUCACCUGGAAUUCAAUGACGCCCGACAUCGUGUCGCUGCGCAUUUACAGCGCAACAUCGACAGGAUACGGAAAGACCUAACGCUGCGGCUACAGUUCCGAUUCUUUAACAUGAACCACAGGAAACCCAACUUAAUUCAGUAAAAACCAAGUACGGCAGUCCCGGCUCGGGGUGGCGACAUCCUAAUGCGAUAUGGCGUUCGCCUAGACCGUUUGUGUCGGUCGGGAAGGGCUUCCCGCAACUACACCACCGGCUGGGGCAUGAACUGACGACGACCACGACGACGACAGCAGAGUAGAGGAGGGUCUUCGCAGCCGUUCCGCCGCCACGUCGAUUGCAAGCACACACCCACACACCCACACACGCAGGCAGAGAAAGCAUCCGAGGACCGAGAAUCGCAGGGCGGAAGUCGCAGAUCCCUCCCGGAAGGGUGUGGUCCUGCCAGCGGAAGCCGCCGAAAGGAGUAGCUUGCCACCGCACGCGAAGCUACCGAACCGCACGCGAAGCUGCAAAACCGCACAGGAGCGCCGCGGAACCGGCAGGAAGUACCAGGACGUCCGAGCUGGAUCGGACGCCCUCCUGAAAGCGGAAGAGGAAGAGAGGGUGCAGGGGCGAGGAGAGAGCCGGAAAAACCCGGAUAGAAAGUAGAGAGCCAGAGAGAGAGAGGGAAACGGGAGAAAAGGGAACGUGAGCCUCUUCGGAGCCCUUCCGGUCUCCCCGGUUGCGCCGCCUCCGGAAGUCGGCGCGGGCUUCUUCGAGGUCCCCGGAACCGGCCACUUCCGGUCGGUCGCUCUCCUUCCUGGCGACGCCUUUCGUUUUCGUGCGACCGCCUUGGCUGAUUUUCCUCGUCGCGAGACUCGGCCCCGAAACCUGGCUCUACCAGCUGAUUAAUGAACACGAUAACGUAUCGUCGCUUAGUCGUUAACCGUCCUACCCAGUGAUCGCGGAGACGUCCUCCUCGGCGGUCGGCCACUUCCACCACCAGGAUCCACCAGGAACCACCGGGUGAUCCUGGAAACGCGACGUCGCGGGACCGAUCUCGACGCCUCGACGACCGCCGACCGGGACGUUUCCGGCUGGAAGCCCUCCCUGAAGAGGGCCUCUUCGUUUCGUACGGACACCCGAAGACAGCCGGGAUGUGCCGUCCCGGACUUUUCGCUCAACGAGACGCGAGGAAACCCCAUGGGAAUAGAGAGAGGGAAAGUGAGAGCGAGUGUGCGAAAGACCGAGAGAAAGGGAGAGAAUGGAGAACGCGAGUGAGAAAGGAUCCCUUCGAUUCGCCAGCCGAUCCCUCCCUGAUAAGAGGGGUAGGAUCGAUUCCCGCGAAUGUUCUUCUGUUUUUUUUUUUUUAUUCAUUUACCAUUGGCCUCUCGUCCGUCCCUGACGAAACCCCUGACCACGCCAGACUUUUCCAUUCUUCGAACGGACUGGUCGUUAGGGUUGGUCAGGAGUUCGCGUUCCGGCCUGGGCGAGGGGUGGACGCGUCUUUUUAUCUCAGAAUCGGGAAUUCACGUCCGCGUUUGCGGGGCGUGCACCGCGACGACCGACGCGCGUCGAGGUGACCGGCUUACCGGUGGAUCAUGAUGUAAUAAAUUUAAGUCGACCUAUGCACAUAUACGGAUAUUAAUAAUAAUGAUUAAUAUAUUGCGACCCUUGUCCUAACGUUGCGGCCGAGCGACCGGCCCUUCGGCCUGGCUGCCUCUGUGUCGUUUAUUCUCACUAAUCUAACGAGUAAUUAUUCUUAUUUAAUUAAUUACUUUAGCGGUCGGUACGAAAAUCAAUCUGUACAUAUUGCGUUAGAAUGUGGGCUCGACUCGACUGCGCCUGGGGGAGGUGCGGGAGAUGAAGAGAGUGCAAGAGCGACUGAGAGACAGAGCAAUUAGAGAGACGUGGGGAUGUUUGUAUGUGAGACUGUGUGAGACUGUCGAGAUCGAACGAAAGGACGUACGUGUGUGAGUUGGAUAGGUCGCGGAGAGAGGAAAGAGUGCGGGGGAGGACGACGCGGAAAGAGACGGCGGACGCGCCGACCGACGCGGGCGGACAUUUCGGAUAAUGGGUAGCGCUUUGAAAUCCCGAGAUAUUGCGACGGUGUCGCGAAAACGCUUCUCGCAUUGUUCAAUCGUACCUAGGCUGCUGGAUUUCGCGGGUCCUGUCAGUGUCGUGACCGCCGACGCGAUCGCGGUUACAUCGCGUACGCGCAAUCUACGUAAAUGCAAGGAACGCUUUGCCACCGCAUUUCGGGGCUGCAGAAUUUCCCGACGUCGCGGCGGAUUAUCGCUAAUCGAUGGACGUUUUUUGAUACGAUUCCGUCAUUUAUCGCUGAUUUUUUAGCGCGUAUCGGGUCGCCGGUUCUGGGGGACUCGCUGUCGCGCUUUCUGGAUAUAUAUAUAUUUAUAGUGUGGAUGUAUCAUCGUUAUAUGCCCGGAAUUAUUAAUCGAAAUGUCCGCGGCGUCGCGACGCUUGCUCCGGUAAUGGGUGUCGAUGUAGAGGGCAUACGGCGUGCUUACUAACCCCGUGGAAAUAAAUGGGAAUGGCGGACUCGGAGACUCUCGCCCGACAGGGUGAGAACGAGAUCGGGCGAGGGGAGGACCGCGGUAUUAGCACGUAAUACGGCCAGAGAGGGAGAUGGACCCGAGAAAGGGGAGAAGGAAAUGUCGGCGGUUAUUCUACUCGUUGUUUUGUUCGCUACCUCCUUGAUGUCUUCUUGUAUGUAUUUGUGUACGCGCAGCCACCUACACUUACUCACACACACGGUGACACCCGACACACUAUGCACGCGCACGAUCAAAGCCUUGCUAGCCUUUAUCUUGUAACACGAGAUUUAAAUAAAAUAUCAAAAUGCACCCAA